ensembl:snRNA Gm24921 predicted gene, 24921
CUGCUUGCUUCAGCAGCACAUAUACUAAAAUUGGAACGAUAAAGAGAAGAUUAGCAUGGCCCCUGUACAAGGUUGACACACAAAUUCAUGGAGCAUUCCAUAUUUUU